rnacentral:rRNA from 1 species
UACGGAGGGUGCAAGCGUUACUCGGAAUCACUGGGCGUAAAGCGCGCGCAGGCGGUCUUUUAAGUUGGAUGUGAAAUCCUAUGGCUCAACCAUAGAACUGCAUCCAAAACUGAAAGACUAGAGUCUGGGAGGGGAAGAUGGAAUUAGUGGUGUAGGGGUAAAAUCCGUAGAGAUCACUAGGAAUACCAAAAGCGAAGGCGAUCUUCUGGAACAGUACUGACGCUGAGGCGCGAAAGCGUGGGGAGCAAACAGGAUUAGAUACCCUGGUAGUCCACGCCCUAAACUAUGAAUGUUAGUCGUCGGGGGGCUUGUCUUCUCGGUGAUGCAGCUAACGCAUUAAACAUUCCGCCUGGGGAGUACGGUCGCAAGAUUAAA